AUUGAACGCUGGCGGCAUGCCUUACACAUGCAAGUCGAACGGCAGCAUAGGAGCUUGCUCCUGAUGGCGAGUGGCGAACGGGUGAGUAAUAUAUCGGAACGUGCCCUAGAGUGGGGGAUAACUAGUCGAAGGACUAGCUAAUACCGCAUACGGUCUACGGAUGAAAGUGGGGGAUCGCAAGACCUCAUGCUCCUGGAGCGGCCGAUAUCUGAUUAGCUAGUUGGUGGGGUAAAAGCCUACCAAGGCGACGAUCAGUAGCUGGUCUGAGAGGACGACCAGCCACACUGGGACUGAGACACGGCCCAGACUCCUACGGGAGGCAGCAGUAGGGAAUUUUGGACAAUGGGGGCAACCCUGAUCCAGCAAUGCCGCGUGAGGGAAGAAGGCCUUCGGGUUGUAAAGCUCUUUUGUCAGGGAAGAAACGGUAGUAGCUAAUAUCUACUACUAAUGACGGUACCUGAAGAAUAAGCACCGGCUAACUACGUGCCAGCCGCCGCAGUAA
rnacentral:rRNA from 1 species